rnacentral:rRNA from 1 species
GACGAAGGAUGCAAGCGUUAUCCGGAUUCAUUGGGUUUAAAGGGUGCGUAGGCGGCCUGAUAAGUCAGUGGUGAAAUCUCCUCGCUUAACGAGGAAACUGCCAUUGAUACUGUUGGGCUUGAGUACAGAUGCUGUGGGCGGAAUAUGACAUGUAGUGGUGAAAUACAUAGAGAUGUCAUAGAACACCGAUUGCGAAGGCAGCUCACAAAAACUGUAACUGACGCUGAGGCACGAAAGUGCGGGGGAUCAAACAGG